AUGAUGAUGAUGAUGAUGAUGAUGAUGAUGAUGAAUGUGUGUGCGUAAACAAGAGAGAAAGAGAGAGCCAUGCCACCCUGCCUUUUAUAAUCAAUUUUCAAGUCACAUGCCAUCACUCGUGUCUUAUUCUAUAAGUAACAGCCCCCAAAUGCUCUGACAAAUGUGUUCUUUGCUGGUAAAGUGAUUAUAAAUUAUUUGUCAACCUUUCUCUCUUCAUUCCAUGGGGUGCGUCUCUUCAUGCCUGUUCCAGAUAAAAACCUCAGGGUAAGCAAUGAAACCUUCCCUGGGAGCAAACAAAGAAAAGUGGAGAAAACAAUUUUUCCCUUUUACAGGGCAUUUGAAUAAAGGAAUCCCAAUAGAGAAAUGAAAUUUGUCCACUUGGUAUCAAAUAAACUAAGAAAAUUUCCCUAAAUUAGCUGUGGGUGUGAACAUUUUCACACCGCCUUUCUCCCCAAACGGUUUUGCAUGGUGCUGCCAAAGCUGACCCAGAUGUUCGGCAUCAGUCUUCCAUGAUGACGUCUUCGCCUUGGCUGGCGGGAGCUCAGUGUUUGCUCUAGCUGAUUUUUCCUAAACUCUGUACCCCCAAGACCAAGUUCAUCUUAGACUUUUACAGUUUUGUAUCACCUUGGCAAACUCUGUGUGACUGGUAAUCUUAGCCAUAAAAAAGGCUUUUAAAACAUUU
rnacentral:lncRNA from 1 species